rnacentral:rRNA from 1 species
CCCUUAGAUGUUCUGGGCCGCACGCGUGCUACACUGAGUGGAUCAGCGGGUCAGGUUGCGCGAAAGCGUUUCCUAAUCUUUAAAUCCGCUCGUGAUGGGGAUUGACGGUUGCAAUUUUCUGUCAUGAACGAGGAAUCCCUUGUAAGCGCGGGUCAUCAUCCCGCGCUGAAUACGUCCCUGCCCUUUGUACACACCGCCCGUCGCUCCUACCGAUUGAGUGGUCCGGUGAGGCUUUGGGAUCUGAGCGGAAAGAGCGUUUCGCUGUUUCUGCUCGGAAAACUCAGUCGAACCUUAUCAUUUAGAGGAAGGAGAAGUCGUAACA